CCUGUAACUUCGAAGUUGACGGAGAUGUUUUGGAUCAAUGCCCGAUGCAGCAACCAUCCUCAGGAGACGAAUUCCACGAUGACACACACCCAAAAUUUGAGCAUCACCACUGUCUGACUGCAAUUAGUGGAUACAGUUCGUCGUACCUUGUCGUCGCGUUCCAGCAUUCCUUGUUUCCACGUCACAGACUCACAGUAAGACCAGACCCUGUUCCGAUUAUCGACCUCGCCUUUUUGCCUCACGUUUUUGGAUACUGUUGCCGUUUUUGGAUCGCCUGCCUGUGUACCGACCUCUGCCCGUAUAUUAAACCUCUCUUUUUGAAACUGUC